ensembl:lncRNA GIHCG GIHCG inhibitor of miR-200b/200a/429 expression
GACGCACGGUGUUCUGGGAGGAGUUACGCAGGCAGGGUUGUGGUUGCUGGCUGUUACCAGGACAACCGGAGGCGAUUGACCGUUAUCUGCGGUUUGGAGCCGUUAGCGGGAGAGGCAGAGAUAUUCAGAGGUCUUUUAGGAUGCGCUAAAGGGUCGUGAGGGCUCUCUUAAAAUUUUCUUCACAAGCGGUUAUCCAGUCGUGCCCCGCGGCCCUGCUGCUGGCCCCGGGGAUCUGAGUCGUACCCUCUUGUUUUUCUCUGAGUCAGUCUUAAGGUGAAAUGAAGUGUGGCCCAGUGGCUCCUCACUGUCGCUUCUCUAGUUUUCUGCCUCCUUUUAGAAAAUGUAAGUUGAGAAUUUCUAAUUUACAUCGGGAUGUGUUCUAAUGCGCUUGUUUUUAAAACUGUGGAAAAUUUUUAAAAGAAAAUAAAUCUCACCAGUCAUCCAGCUACCCAGAAGUAACAUUUUCAUGCAUUACCUAUUAAUUUUUUUCUCUGCAUAUUUUUUCAUAGUUGAGAUAAUUUAGGGAAAACCAUUUUGUGUCCUUCAUAUAUGGAUGAAUACAAUAUAAUUUUGGUAUUAAUAUCAUAGCAACAAAGAAGGCAUUGAAGGCUUUAAAUCUGUUUACAGUGAAUUGAAAAGACAGGAUGAAGUGGACACAGCAUGUGAAGACAAUUCUUUCAAGAAGUUUGGCUGUCAAGGAAAACAGAGAAUGUGCUAAAGAACAUACAGACACAGAGCAGACAGGCCACCUUUGCAACCACAUGGAGGUUUGUCUGAUAUUGAAGCUAAAGAAGCUAAGCUGGAAGACAGAGAGACCAAGUCCUGAUGACAUUGUUUGAACCCAGAGAUCCAGACAUGCCUGAAAACUAGUUUUACCACUGGACUUAUCCGUUGAAUGAGCCAAUAAACUCUCUUUUAUACUUAACCUUGGGUUUUACCUGGAUUUUUGUCAUUGACAGCUCAAAAUAUUCUAAUAUAGAAGUAUACAUCAUUAAAUCAACAUUUCUUUUUUUCUCUGUCUUAUUUUAAAUGUAACUCUAUAAGGUACUCUAAAAGUAUUCUACAGUCUCACUAAGUUAAUCUGCAAAUUUGGUAAAAUUCCAAUAUUAAUCCCAAAAGUAUUUUAAGAGCUUGUUUUUGUUGUUUGCUUGUUUGGGACUAAACAGAAUUACUCCAAAAUUCAUUGAGAGAAAAAAAAACAUGAAAAAAAAAACAAGAAAAUAGAAUUCAUAAAAGGAAAUUGUAUUAUAUAACAAAGCAUAAAACAAGAAUAAUAAACAUAGA